GAUGCUAUGGGGCAGUGUGGGGUGGUGCCGUGGUGUGACGCUAUGGGGCAGUGCCGUGGUGUGGCGCUAUGGGGCAGUGUGGGGCGGUGCCAUGGUGUGGCGCUAUGGGGCGGUGCCAUGGUGUGGUGCUAUGGGGCGCUGUGGGGCUGAUGCUGUGGGGUGUGGGGUGAUGUGAGGUGGUGCUAUGGGGCUCUGGGGUGGUGCCGUGGGGCCGCUGUGGGGCUGACGCUAUGGGGUGGUGCG
rnacentral:lncRNA from 1 species